GGUAAUGCCAGUAGAACCACGCUGCUUGAAGCACUGGACUGCAUCCUGCCACCAACUCGUCCAACUGACAAGCCCCUGCAUCUGCCUCUCCAGGAUGUCUACAAGAUUGGUGGUAUUGGGACUGUCCCUGUGGGCCAAGUGGAGACUGGUGUCCUCAAACCUGGCAUGGUGGUCACCUUUGCUCCAAUCAGCGUUACAACUGAAGUGAAGUCUGUUGAAAUGCACCAUGAAGCUUUGAGUGAAGCCCCUCCUGGGGACAACAUGGGCUUCAAUGUCAAGAAUGUGUCUGUCAAAGAUGUUCACCGUGGCAAUGUUGCUGGUGACAGCAAAAAUGAUCCACCAAUGGAAGCAGCUGGUUUCACUGCUCAGGUGAUUAUCCUGAACCAUCCAGGCCAAAUCAGUGCUGGCUAUGCCCCUGUACUGGAUUGUCACAUGGCUCACAUUGCAUGAAAGUUUGCUGAGCUGAAGGAAAAGAUUGAUCGCCGUUCUGGUAAGAAGCUGGAAGAUGGCCCUAAAUUCUUGAAGUCUGGUGAUGCUGCCAUUGUUGAUAUGGUUCCUGGCAAGCCCAUGUGUGUGGAGAGUUUCUCUGACUAUCCUCUUCUGGGUCAUUUUGCCGUCCGUGAUAUGAGGCAGACAGUUGCUGUGUGUGUCAUCAAAGCAGUGGACAAGAAGGCUGCCAAAGCUGGCAAG